rnacentral:rRNA from 1 species
CUACGGGUUGCAGCAGUGGGGAAUAUUGCACAAUGGGCGCAAGCCUGAUGCAGCCAUGCCGCGUGUGUGAAGAAGGCCUUCGGGUUGUAAAGCACUUUCAGUUGGGAGGAAAGGUUAGUCGCUAAUAUCGGCUAUCUGUGACGUUACCAACAGAAGAAGCACCGGCUAACUCCGUGCCAGCAGCCGCGGUAAUACGGAGGGUGCGAGCGUUAAUCGGAAUUACUGGGCGUAAAGCGUACGCAGGCGGUUUGUUAAGCUAGAUGUGAAAGCCCCGGGCUCAACCUGGGAACUGCAUUUAGAACUGGCAAACUAGAGUGUGAUAGAGGGUGGUAGAAUUUCAGGUGUAGCGGUGAAAUGCGUAGAGAUCUGAAGGAAUACCGAUGGCGAAGGCAGCCACCUGGGUCAACACUGACGCUCAUGUACGAAAGCGUGGGGAGCAAACAGGAUUAGAUACCCCUGUAGUC